rnacentral:tRNA from 1 species
CCCGGUGUAGCUCAGAGGACAGGGCAGCGGGUUUCUACUCUGCAAGUCGGUGGUUCGAAUCCACUCACCGGGA